rnacentral:rRNA from 1 species
AGUGAACGCUGGCGGUAGGCCUAACACAUGCAAGUCGAACGGCAGCACAGUAAGAGCUUGCUCUUACGGGUGGCGAGUGGCGGACGGGUGAGGAAUACAUCGGAAUCUACUUUUUCGUGGGGGAUAACGUAGGGAAACUUACGCUAAUACCGCAUACGACCUCCGGGUGAAAGCAGGGGAUCUUCGGACCUUGCGCGAUUGAAUGAGCCGAUGUCGGAUUAGCUAGUUGGCGGGGUCAAGGCCCACCAAGGCGACGAUCCGUAGCUGGUCUGAGAGGAUGAUCAGCCACACUGGAACUGAGACACGGUCCAGACUCCUACGGGAGGCAGCAGUGGGGAAUAUUCGACAAUGGGCGCAAGCCUGAUCCAGCCAUACCGCGUGAGUGAAGAAGGCCUUCGGGUUGUAAAGCCCUUUUGUUGGGAAAGAAAAGCAUCAGGUUAAUACCCCGCUGUUCUGACGGUACCCAAAGAAUAAGCACCGGCUAACUUCGUG